UACGUAGGGGGCUAGCGUUGUCCGGAAUCAUUGGGCGUAAAGCGCGUGUAGGCGGUCCGGUAAGUCUGCUGUGAAAGUCGGGGGCUCAACCCUCGGAUGCCGGUGGAUACUGUCGGGCUUGAGUACGGAAGAGGCGAGUGGAAUUCCUGGUGUAGCGGUGAAAUGCGCAGAUAUCAGGAGGAACACCGGUGGCGAAGGCGGUUCUCUGGGCCUGUAACUGACACUGAGGCGCGAAAGCGUGGGGAGCAAACAGG
rnacentral:rRNA from 1 species